rnacentral:tRNA from 2 species
GCCCGGGUGGUGGAAUGGCAGACACGAGGGUCUUAGAAGCCCUUGCCGCAAGGCGUGCAGGUUCGAUCCCUGUCCCGGGCACCA